rnacentral:rRNA from 1 species
AACGAACGCUGGCGGCAGGCUUAACACAUGCAAGUCGAACGCUCCGCAAGGAGAGUGGCAGACGGGUGAGUAACACGUGGGAACGUACCCUUUACUACGGAACAACUCCGGGAAACUGGAGCUAAUACCGUAUGUGCCCUUUGGGGGAAAGAUUUAUCGGUAAAGGAUCGGCCCGCGUUGGAUUAGCGAGUUGGUGGGGUAAAGGCCUACCAAGGAGACGAUCCAUAGCUGGUCUGAGAGUAUGAGCCGCCACAUUGGGACUGAGACACGGCCCAAACUCCUACGGGAGGCAGCAGUGGGGAAUAUUGGACAAUGGGCGCAAGCCUGAUCCAGCCAUGCCGCGUGUGUGAUGAAGGCCUUAGGGUUGUAAAGCACUUUCACCGGAGAAGAUAAUGACGGUAUCCGGAGAAGAAGCCCCGGCUAACUUCGUGCCAGCAGCCGCCGUAA